rnacentral:misc_RNA from 1 species
CGAGUGUAGGGUUCCUAGCGAGCCCAACCUCCCACCCGUGUUUACUGUAACCUUAGUUGCUUCGGCGGGCCCGCCGUUUACGGCCGCCGGGGGGCAUCAGCCCCCGGGCCCGCGCCCGCCGGAGACACCACGAACUCUGUCUGAUCUAGUGAAGUCUGAGUUGAUUGUAUCGCAAUCAGUUA